ensembl:lncRNA
AUUUUGUGUUCUAUGAGAGAAUCAGCUAUGGUCAGAAUCUAAAGAGAAGGAGUCAAUAUGAAGAAGAUGUGAUGGAAAGGAGUCAAUAAUGGGUCAAAGCCACAGAAGAGACGGGAAUGGAUGAAAAGAUCAUUCUCUUAGGACUAAGAGGAGUAAAAACUGGUAAAUGUAUGGUGUGGAGAAGAUUUGAGCAAGCCCAUUCUAUUCAAUCAAGACCAAAAGGUCAUCUUUUUGACAGUGACGCCUCGAGGAAGGAUUGAAGAGCUUGGGGUAAAUAGUAAUGCUUCAUGUCACAUCAGAAACAAGGAAAGGAACUAUAAACAGAUAAAGUUGCCAAGCAAAAGUGCUUUUCAAAAGGCCGAAAGGGAGUUCCCAGUGUGGCUCAGUGGAAACAAAUCUGACUAGGAUCCAUGAGGUUGCAGGUUUGAUCCCUGGCCUCGCCCCAUGGGUUAAGGAUCUGGCAUUGCCAUGAGCUGCGGUAUAGUUCGCAGACCAGCUCAGAUCUGGUGUUGCUGUGGCUACGGUGUAGACCAGCAGCUACAGCUCCAAUUCAACCCCUAGUCUGGGAACCUCCGUAUGCCACAGUUGCAGCUCUAAAAAAACAAAAAAUUUAAAAAAUAAAAAGGCCAAAAGAAGAGGUGAGUAGAAGCAUAUUACUUUACUAGAGUUAGAAGGGAAACCUUAAUCAGACUUAUGAUUGAAAUAAGAUAGAUAGAUCCAAAAGAGUAGAUGCCUCUGAAGUCUGAGAAUGUCAGAGAAUCUUAAAGGCUCUGUUUUCUUAUUUCCCAAAUAGCUUUAACUGUGAGGUACAUCAUCAAUUAACUGAAAAAUUUAAGGGAUUAAAAAAAAAAAACCUUAAUUGUGUCUGGCAACAUUCUUUUGUAAUCAAAAUUUAUUAAGGUUCUAGAAAUUCUAAACUGUAUUAGAGAAAAAGCAUAUUCAUCUGCUUAAGGAGGCAGGUCUUUCCUUUGAAUCCCUUCAUAUUCUCAGCAGACCAACAACACUGAGUAGGAUCUUCCCAAAUUUACUUGGGUGCCCGGAUUCUUGCUGAUUUACAAUUUUUCAUUCAAUGAGAUAAAGUACUGGAUGUAACUAAUAAUGAGUCGAAUGGAAAAGAAAAAGUUGUCAUUUCUCCUCCUGUAGAGUGACAAACAAAUGUUCCUAAGAAAAGUUCAUUUGGACUCUAGUAAUCUGAGCUUUGUGACCAUGUAAUUGUCACAUUAAAAGAGAGUUGAUUUUCCACAAAGCAGAAAAAGGCUUAACUAAGCAACAGCCUAAAUUCAACUGCAAGGAAAACAUUUUACCUGAAUAGGCAAAAACUAUUUUAAAGUAUGUUAGAAGCAAUAAAGAGUAUGAAAACACAUUAUGUUCUAAUUACAAAUCCAUGGCAUCUAUUUUAAAGCCAUUCCUAAGGGGUCACUCUUGGGCAAUAACUUUUAUGUCCUAAAUUGAGAUGCUACAGUAUGACUUACUUAAAAGUAAUAAAAUUGUUUCCUUAAAGUUUUCUACAAUUGAGCCUGCAGUUUACUUCAGAAAAUCUUUCCCAGGAUUAUUCUUCAUUAGUAAGAAGGUGAGUUCUGCCUAGACAGCUCAGGUUUGAGUAACCCCCGCCCAGCCCAUAUCAGCUGUCCUAGCAUCCAAUCUAAAGGGUCUCAUGUCUGCCCAAUAAUUCUUGUAUGGAUUUGUAAGCUCAUACCUAGAUUCUGCCUUGACCUUUUGAAAUGAUGCCUUAAAUCUCAGCUUCAGAUUUGUUCCCUCAAAGCUAUCUUUUAGAUUCCACUGGCUGUCAUAGUCUAUGUCUUCAAGUCAGUCCUGGGGAUCUGUCCUACCUGCAUGGGAGCUCAGGCAAUGGCUCAGGGGCUCACUUAGACUCUGAGCUCCAUGAGAACAAAUAUAGUGGCUGAUGUGUAUGAGAAACAAUAACUAAGUAACAAAUAAAUCUAUUCCAGCCUCAGCAACCAGAGUAUCUACUUCUCCAGGGAAGAAAUUCAGAGAAGUUCCCCCGUUUCUAGACUACCUUGACCCCUGGUGCAAAAUCAGUGUUGCCUUUUGUAGCUACGAAAUUAGACAGCAAUCAGAUUUGCACUAUUUCCAGCCCAUUUAGCGUCCAAUAACUCCAGAACAGAGCUAAGGUUUUUUCUUUUGGGGGUCCCUUUAUUUAUUAAAUUUUAUAGGCACAGAGUUCCUGUCAUGGCUCAGCAGUUAACAAAACUGACUAGUAACCAUGAGGACUUGCGUACUAUCCCUGGCCUCAUUCAGUGGGUUAAGGAUCUGGUGGUGGUGUGAGCUAUGGUGUAGUUCGCAGAUGUGGCUUGGAACCCACACUGCUGUGGCUGUGGUGUAGACCAGUAACUACAAUUCCCAUUCGACCCCUAGCCUGGGAAAUUCCAUAUGCUGUGGGUGAGGCCCUAAAAAGAUGACAAAUAAAGCAGUUCGGUAGGCUUCCUGCUUGUAAGACCCAGAAGGUAAAUUUAUGGGAUGCAAACCCUGUCUGCUUUUAGACAUUCACGUCCUGAAUCCCCAAUUUAAGCCACAAUUGGAAAUGCUGAAGCUUUUCCAACAGAAGUUUCCUGCAGUAUUUUUAAACAAUUUGGUUUAAGGCAGAAUGUUAGCAUCUUCAAUGAACUUAAAAGAGAGAGAGAGAGAGAAAGGUCAUGUAAUUCAGUGCUCAGAAAUUGAUGAGUACCGUACUUCAAAGAAAAUGUUCUCUCUGCUGAUGAGUCUGACAAGAAGAGCCAUGAUAGGCAUCUGUACCUGGAAAUGUGGUUAGUGAAACAGAGUUCAACCGUAUUUCUUCUCCAAAGAACGCCGUCUGCAUCUGGAGUCUGGAAAUGCGAGCUUUUCAUGGAAACUAUCUUUCUAAAGAGCACAACAAUCAGGGUAAAUGUCAUCUUCAUUAAUCAUCCUCUCAUAUAAUAGAGUCAACUGAAAAAAAUCGUAUGAAGUCUAAUUUCCUGAGGAGAUGAGGGUGACCUGUGAAGCUCAAGCAACUAUUAGACCUAAAUGUUAACUAAAGCAACGCCCUUUGCUCACGUGCCUCUGACUGUUACGGCUUCUGUAAUUUUCUCUUUUUCCCUCAUCCGCCCCUCUCUCCACCACAAUAUAUGGCAGAACGAAAUCACGAAAUCACAGAGAAAACUGAAAAUGACCCUUAAAGGAACAGGUCAUUUUACAGAGAAAAGAGUAGUCUGAAAAUUUUAUCAAAUAAGAAUUUACUUUUCAAUCUAUCAACACUACUAUAAACAUCAAACUUAAUAUAUGACAAGCUGUAAUCUGCAUAUUCCGAUUGUCAGAAAAAGGAAAUAUCCUAAUACAACUUACUGCAGUGACAUAGAACUUGGAAAUGGCUCUUCAGUCCAUUGGCAGUGUUUUCACAGACAAAACUAUAGGUUCUACUAAAGCUAUUUCUGUCACCUUUAAAUAGCAUAGAACUAUUGUACUUUACUGGCAUUUAAGUGAAAUGACAAGUUACCAGUUGUUUACGUAAUGUAGUAUCAAUUGAAACAGUAGCAUGGAACAGAGCAAUAUAUUGAAAAAUGAACAAAACAAAGGUGCAGUGUACUGUAGACCAAAUAAAAUACACUCCCCCCCCCCCCCCCCCCCCCCACCCCCGCCAAGAACAACAGCAACAGGAAAAAUUCUUAGAGUGCAAUCAAUAAAA